AUACGGAGGGGGUUAGCGUUGUUCGGAAUUACUGGGCGUAAAGCGCGCGUAGGCGGAUCAGAAAGUUGGGGGUGAAAUCCCGGGGCUCAACCCCGGAACUGCCUCCAAAACUACUGGUCUAGAGUUCGAGAGAGGUGAGUGGAAUUCCGAGUGUAGAGGUGAAAUUCGUAGAUAUUCGGAGGAACACCAGUGGCGAAGGCGGCUCACUGGCUCGAUACUGACGCUGAGGUGCGAAAGUGUGGGGAGCAAACAGGAUUAGAUACCCUGGUAGUCCACACCGUAAACGAUGAAUGCCAGUCGUCGGGUAGUAUACUAUUCGGUGACACACCUAACGGAUUAAGCAUUCCGCCUGGGGAGUACGGUCGCAAGAUUAAA
rnacentral:rRNA from 1 species